rnacentral:lncRNA from 1 species
AGAAACAGAAUCUAAGAUACGAUGGCCGACACUUUUUCCCAAAUAGAUUUAAUCAGUUACAUGGGAAUACAAAAAAUGACUGACGACACACCGAUAUUAGUGAUCAGGGGAACUGACUCUAACAGUGUCUCUUACAUGUUACUUGUGUUUUCUGUAUCUUAAAGAUAAUGUAGGCAUUGUUCCUAAGUCAUGCAGAGGGGUUGUGUAAGCAUGGUCAUUUGCAUCAUUAUCCUGCACGUCUGAUACAGCCAAACUCCACGCCACCUGGUUUGCUGUAAGUAUUGGAUUCAUUUAAGAUCCAUAACAAUGCUAUUUACUGACCCUCUUGUCAACUGAUGCUGUGACACUGCUGUAAAAUGAUCCCUAUGUCACCAGAUGCUGCCCUGAAACUUAGGAAGUUAGCAUGAAGGUAAUACUUCAUUAGAAGUUUGCAAUUUAUGGGUGAAUUAAUAAUGCAAGAGAAAAGGAAUAGAACAGACAUAGAGAGAAGACCUUUGAGGUUUACAUCAAACCCCAUCAAAAGAGAUUUAAAAAAAAAAAAACCUUACCCUGCAGGGGUUCAUUGAAUCUCAUCAUUAAUAAAAUAGGGUCUAUCAGCAAGAUGUUUUUAACAAAAUCUGCUGACAGGGAAAACAUAAGAAAACUGGCCCCUACAAUGUAUGACAUUUCAAGGGCUCAAGAGUGUUCUAAAGAAAACCAAAUUGUUCAUGUGUAAUGAACUGGACAGAAGCUAAAAGGUGACCUGUGUCUUUUAAACAGCAACAGCAAAAGACACGGCCGGGUGCGGUGGCUCACCCCUUUAAUCCCAGCACUUUGGAAGGCCGAGGCGGGCGGAUCAUUUGAGCAAUAUCUUUUGCUUGGGAGCAGAAACAGAAAGUACAUGAUGGACUUCAUUGAAGGAUGGAGAUUUGGAAGACAUGAAUGGAUGAAGAACCAAGUGCGUGAGGGCACCUAUCAGGAUUAUUGCUGAAAUCCUUAUGGAGUUAACUGGCUGAGAGGAAGGCAAGCAAGCGAGGACUGAUGGGCCCUUGGCACUGUGAGAACAGUGGAGGAGGAGGGAGCAGGGUUCAUAAGGAGGAGCACAAACAGAAAGUUCAGUGGCCCCAAUAAAAAUAACACCAGAAUCUU